rnacentral:rRNA from 1 species
UACGGGGGGGGCAAGCGUUGUUCGGAAUUACUGGGCGUAAAGGGCUCGUAGGCGGCCAACUAAGUCAGACGUGAAAUCCCUCGGCUUAACCGGGGAACUGCGUCUGAUACUGGAUGGCUUGAGGUUGGGAGAGGGAUGCGGAAUUCCAGGUGUAGCGGUGAAAUGCGUAGAUAUCUGGAGGAACACCGGUGGCGAAGGCGGCUUCCUGGCCUACUACUGACGCUGUGGCGCGAAAGCUGGGGGAGCGAACGGG